rnacentral:rRNA from 1 species
AUUGAACGCUGGCGGCAGGCCUAACACAUGCAAGUCGAACGAGUGGCGGACGGGUGAUUAAUGUCUGGGUAACUGCCCGAUGGAGGGGGAUAAUUACUGGAAACGUUAGCUAAUACCUCAUACCAUCGGAUGUGUCCAUGUCGGAUUAGCUAGUAGGUGGGGUAACGGCUCACCUAGGCGACGAUCCCUAGCUGGUCUGAGAGGAUGACCAGGCAAACUGGAACAUGGAGACGGUCCAGACACCUACGGGAGGCAGCAGUGGGGAAUAUUGCACAAUGGGCGCAAGGCUGAUGCAGCCAUGCCGCGUGUAUGAAGAAGGCCUUCGGGUUGUAAAGUACUUUCAGCGGGGAGGCGUUAGUCGCAGAAGAAGCACCGGCUAACUCCGUGCCAGCAGCCGCGGUAAUUC